ensembl:lncRNA
AGAAGGCGCUAGGAGCAAAGGAAAGUGGUUUUUCUAACAAACUCAUGUAAUCAAUUGCCCGACGUACUCCAAUUUGAUUUUUUUCACAUAGUUAGACAUAAUAUAUUACUAUGAAAUGUUUCUGACCCAAAAUAUUACGAAAUAUGAUUGUUUACAUUAAAAUGCAAAAGUUGAUGAAAAAGUAUGAUAAGUUGAAAAAAGUGACAUUUUAUGUCUAGAAAGUCAGUUUUCAUCAAAAGUACAAUAACAAAACUUAGUUUCGCAUUCAUCCUGUGUCCCUUACACACUUGUGCUCUUUAUCCGCUCAAAACGCUAUAGAGCGAACGAGAAGGCGCUAGGAGCAAAGGAAAGUGGUUUUUCUAACAAACUCAUAUAAUCAGUUGCCCGACCUACUCCAAUUUGAUUUUUUUCACAUAGUUAGACAUAAUAUAGUACUAUGAAAUGUUUCUGACCCAAAAUAUUACGAAAUAUGAUUGUUUACAUUAAAAUGCAAAAGUUGAUGAAAAAGUAUGAUAAGGUUAAAAAAGUGACAUUUUAUGUCUAGAAAGUCAGUUUUCAUCAAAAGUACAAUAACAAAAGUAGUUCGCAUUCAUCCUGUGUCUCCUUACACACUUGUGCUCUUUAUCCGCUCAAAACGCUAUAGAGCGAACGAGAAGGCGCUAGGAGCAAAGGAAAGUGGUUUUUCUAACAAACUCAUAUAAUCAGUUGCCCGACCUACUCCAAUUUGAUUUUUUUCACAUAGUUAGACAUAAUAUAGUACUAUGAAAUGUUUCUGACCCAAAAUAUUACGAAAUAUGAUUGUUUACAUUAAAAUGCAAAAGUUGAUGAAAAAGUAUGAUAAGGUCAAAAAAGUGACAUUUGAGGUCUAGAAAGUCAGUUUUCAUCAAAAGUACCAUAACAAAACUUGUUCC